CAAGCGGCGCUGGGCGGGGCGCGGCGGGGGCCGCUGGCUCGGGGGCUGGGGGCCGGCGCAGAGCGGCAGCGCGGUGCCCGCUGCUGCCCGGGCGUGGAGCGGCGCUUCCCGAGGCUCAGCCCGGUGCUGGGUGCCCGGUCCCGGCCGUGCCUGCAGCGGCCUCGCACCUGCCGGAGCCCAGGCGGGAGCCCCCUUCCCGGGCUGCUGUCGAUGCUGAGCGUGCCGGGGGCUCUGUCCGCCUGCCCCGCACCAUGGAUGGCUUCUACGACCAGCAGGUUCCCUUCAUGGGCCCCGGGAAGUCGUGCACCGAGGAGGGCCGAGGCCGCCUGGGGUCCGACAGGAAAAGGAAGUUUUUGGAGACCGACCUGGCCCACGACUCGGAAGGUGAGCGGGGCUGCCAGCGGGUCCC